rnacentral:rRNA from 1 species
GACGUAGGGCGCGAGCGUUUGUCCGGAUUUAUUGGGCGUAAAGAGCUCGUAGGCGGCUUGUCGCGUCGUCCGUGAAAACCUGCGGCUCAACUGCAGGCUUGCGGUCGAUACGGGCAGGCUGGAGUUCGGUAGGGGAGACUGGAAUUCCUGGUGUAGCGGUGAAAUGCGCAGAGUAUCAGGAGGAACACCGGUGGCGAAGGCGGGUCUCUGGGCCGAUACUGACGCUGAUUGUGCGAAAGCUAGGGGAGCGAACGGG